GGGGCUGUAGCUCAGUGGUAGAGCACUUGCCUAGCGUGUAUGAGGCACUGGGUUCAAUUAUGAGCACCUCA
rnacentral:tRNA from 1 species